rnacentral:rRNA from 1 species
AUACGGAGGAUCCGAGCGUUAUCCGGAUUUAUUGGGUUUAAAGGGAGCGUAGGCGGACGCCUAAGUCAGUUGUGAAAGUUUGCGGCUCAACCGUAAAAUUGCAGUUGAUACUGGGUGUCUUGAGUACAGUAGAGGCAGGCGGAAUUCGAGGUGUAGCGGUGAAAUACUUAGAUAUCACGAACAACGCCGAUUGCGAAGGCGGCCUGCUGCACUUUAGCUGACGCUGAUGCUCUAAAGUGUGGAUAUCACACAGGAUGAGAUUCCCUGGUAGUCCACACACUAGUGGAUGAAUACUCGAUGUUUUCUAUAUACAGUAAGCGGUCAAGCGAAAGCGUUAAUUAUUCCACCUUGGGAGUUCGCUGGUACCGGGGCAACUCAAAUUUAUUUGGGGGG